rnacentral:rRNA from 1 species
CCUACGGGAGGCAGCAGUGGGGAAUAUUGCACAAUGGGGGAAACCCUGAUGCAGCGACGCCGCGUGAGUGAUGAAGUAUUUCGGUAUGUAAAGCUCUAUCAGCAGGGAAGAAAAUGACGGUACCUGAGUAAGAAGCCCCGGCUAACUACGUGCCAGCAGCCGCGGUAAUACGUAGGGGGCAAGCGUUAUCCGGAUUUACUGGGUGUAAAGGGAGCGUAGACGGCAGUGCAAGUCAGGAGUGAAAGUCCGGGGCUCAACCCCCGGACUGCGUUGGAAACUGUCGGGCUGGAGUUGUGGAGAGGUAGGCGGAAGUCCUAGUGUAGCGGUGAAAUGCGUAGAUAUUAGGAGGAACACCAGUGGCGAAGGCGGCCUACUGGACGGGAACUGACGUUGAGGCACGAAAGCGUGGGGAGCAAACAGGAUUAGAUACCCCUGUAGUC